rnacentral:sRNA from 1 species
GCCAAUUUGCAUCAAAUGCCCUCUAACCAAUAAAUCGCCAAAUAAAUUUCAACCCCAAAAUAGCAAAUAAUGAUUCAAAACCCCAAGUAUAUAUACUGCUCAACCAUGAUUUUAGGAUCUAUUGAGACUCUUUUUCUUUCUUUCUCAAAACUAUGAAAAUAAUGUAUCUAGACUUUACUUCUUUCAUCAUCAAGGAUUUACAAGUUUGUUCAAUAUUGCUCAAAAGUGUCAAGUAUCGAGAAUUGUGAUCGAUUAUAAUCACUUAUUGUUAACGAGGCGAAGUAUAUUAAAUCCAAGACAAAAUGAAAAGAGAAGCUAAAAUCCUAAAAGUGGAGCAUCAAACAUGUAAAUGCAUUUUUACUUAUUUCGACGGAAUAGAGCUUUCGUUGAACCAUUCAUACAUGGAGUGAUCGAGCUAUUGUUUGGACCGUAUUAACGGAUCAACAUGUAUUCAUGUUUUGAUAUCAUGUUAAUUUGUUAUGGGGUUCCAAUUCUAAAUCAAUUUGGCAAUAAAUAAAUUAACUCAUGUCUUUUAUGUAUUACUCAAAUCCAUUUUCAUCUCUGAUGUGAGACCUUUCUUCACAAUAUAUCAAAUAACUGGGUUUGAAACCUUUUUCGAAAAUUACUAUUAAUAUUAUUAACUCCAUAAUGUUUUAGCUACAGUGCAUUAAUGUCAAAUAUUCUGUAUACACGUGGAAACCUCAAUAAGAAUUAGCAAUUUGACAGAAUAAAUAACAAGUAAUUGGCUCUUCAAUCCUAGGAAGUAAUUAAGUACCCCCUAUCGCUCAUUAAAAUUUUGGAGUUGUACGUGUUAAAUUAUUAAAACUCCAACAUGAGUGAUUCUUGGCAUGUGUCUCCUAACCAAAUCUUUCUCAGUUCUUGUAAGCUGCCACGUUAAGAAAAAAGGUGCUGUGUAAUUCCUUGGUUAGUUUAUAUCUAAGAAAUAGAUAAAUUAAUACACUAAUCCAUAAUGUAGUUCAUUUCUAAGGAUCAUAACCCACGUUUCAUUCUUGUUUAAUCACUCUUUUUUUUUUUUUUAAUGAAUUUUAAUCAUCAUUUGAUUAGUUUAUAGGGUACUGCAAACAAUAAUGAAUAUCUUAAUUAGAAAUGAAACUAUAUCACAUAAGUGAAUCUCCCAUGAAGACAGGGAUUUCGUAAGAAACAAGUACAAAUAAACUAAUGUAUGGAAACUUUUGAAGUGCCUCAUGGAGUUAUUUAUCCACUUUGGUUGUUUUGUAAAGACAAAAUUUGUAGUGCCCUUUGAAAUACUUAAAAGGGAGGAUAUUCCCACAACUUAUAUUACUAGUUUUAGUGGAUACGAAUCUCUAUUUCGUAUUUUAUUAAUCAAAUACUUAUAUUAUAAUAGCA